AAAUUGAAGAGUUUGAUCAUGGCUCAGAUUGAACGCUGGCGGCAGGCCUAACACAUGCAAGUCGAACGGUAACAGGAAGCAGCUUGCUGCUUCGCUGACGAGUGGCGGACGGGUGAGUAAUGUCUGGGAAACUGCCUGAUGGAGGGGGAUAACUACUGGAAACGGUAGCUAAUACCGCAUAAUGUCGCAGGACCAAAGAGGGGGACCUUCGGGCCUCUUGCCAUCAGAUGUGCCCAGAUGGGAUUAGCU
rnacentral:rRNA from 3 species